rnacentral:rRNA from 1 species
UACGUAGGGCGCAAGCGUUGUCCGGAAUUAUUGGGCGUAAAGAGCUCGUAGGUGGUUUGUCGCGUUGUUCGUGAAAACUCACAACUCAAUUGUGGGCGUGCGGGCGAUACGGGCAGACUGGAGUACUGCAGGGGAGACUGGAAUUCCUGGUGUAGCGGUGGAAUGCGCAGAUAUCAGGAGGAACACCGGUGGCGAAGGCGGGUCUCUGGGCAGUAACUGACGCUGAGGAGCGAAAGCGUGGGGAGCGAACAGG